rnacentral:rRNA from 2 species
UGGGGAAUAUUGCACAAUGGGCGCAAGCCUGAUGCAGCCAUGCCGCGUGUUUGAAGAAGGCCUUCGGGUUGUAAAGUACUUUCAGCGGGGAGGAAGGGAGUAAAGUUAAUACCUUUGCUCAUUGACGUUACCCGCAGAAGAAGCACCGGCUAACUCCGUGCCAGCAGCCGCGGUAAUACGGAGGGUGCAAGCGUUAAUCGGAAUUACUGGGCGUAAAGCGCACGCAGGCGGUUUGUUAAGUCAGAUGUGAAAUCCCCGGGCUCAACCUGGGAACUGCAUCUGAUACUGGCAAGCUUGAGUCUCGUAGAGGGGGGUAGAAUUCCAGGUGUAGCGGUGAAAUGCGUAGAGAUCUGGAGGAAUACCGGUGGCGAAGGCGGCCCCCUGGACGAAGACUGACGCUCAGGUGCGAAAGCGUGGGGAGCAAACAGG